rnacentral:rRNA from 1 species
CAGUCGCCGCGGGAAUACGAAGGGUGCAAGCGUUAAUCGGAAUUACUGGGCGUAAAGCGUGCGUAGGCGGUGAGUUAAGUCUGUUGUGAAAUCCCCGGGCUCAACCUGGGAAUGGCAAUGGAUACUGGCAAGCUAGAGUGUGUCAGAGGAUGGUGGAAUUCCCGGUGUAGCGGUGAAAUGCGUAGAGAUCGGGAGGAACAUCAGUGGCGAAGGCGGCCAUCUGGGACAACACUGACGCUGAGGCACGAAAGCGUGGGGAGCAAACAGGAUUAGAUACCCGAGUAGUCCCUGUCUCUUAUAC